AAGGCACUACCCUGUGAUUUCCUGGUUAGAAUACUUGGCUUUUGCCUUCUCCCAUCUGGAUGCACCAGAAGAGGGAAUGGGACUGGGGACAACAAAGUAUUAAUAAAGAUUUCAAAGCUGGGAGUUGUAAAAUGGGAAUUGCUAAUGAAGAAGGCUCUUGGCAUUUGGAUCCCCAUCUCCAGCUCUCCAAUAAGCCAGAGCAGGAGGGAACAAAGGGGCACCCGGAAGGGAGAAGAGGAGACCCGCAUAGACACUGCUCAGCAAUAGUGGGGAUCAAAAGAAGAAAAAGGUCGCUGCAGUGGAAGAAGAAAAAUCCAGGCUGUACUUUUUCCCCACCCCAUGUGUGGGGGCGCUGCCCUCUCCCCAGCCGAGCCCGUGAAGGGGUGGCAGGACAAAAAGGGCAGCCACAAGGGUCUGCGAAGUCCACUCGAUGACCACGGAGGCCGCCUGAACAUGCUAAUGAGGGGAUGUCGGUGCUGCCAGCGAGUUGGGAGCCUCAGGCAGGUGGGCUCCUUGGUGGUGAUAGAUCCCAGUCUGAAUCAGGGCUCCCGCCUCAUCUAGAAGCUCAGCCUUAGCCUGGCAAACCCCACCCCCAGCAAGUGUUGAGACAAAUGUGGGCAGAGCAGAGAAAGCAAAGGAAGGGAGGCUGCAAAUCCUGGGCAGCUUGGGGGCUGCAGGGGGUGCUGGGAAAGGGAGGGAGAAGCAGGAAAAGAGGAAUGGGCCCAGUCCCUGAGGUUGAGUGGGCCUCUCCUGACAGACUGGAUGUUUCUCUCCCAGUGACCUCUGUUUAGCAGACAAUAACUCAGUGGAUUAAUGACCAAUCAGCGAAAGGCCUUCCGAAUUGC
rnacentral:antisense_RNA from 1 species